UACGAAGGGGGCUAGCGUUGCUCGGAAUUACUGGGCGUAAAGCGCACGUAGGCGGCGCUGCAAGUUAGAUGUGAAAUGCCUGGGCUUAACCUAGGAACUGCAUUUAAGACUGCUGUGCUAGAGACCGGGAGAGGGUGGCGGAAUUCCCAGUGUAGAGGUGAAAUUCGUAGAUAUUGGGAAGAACACCGGUUGCGAAGGCGGCCACCUGGACCGGCACUGACGCUGAGGUGCGAAAGCGUGGGGAGCAAACAGG
rnacentral:rRNA from 1 species